CGACCACCGUUAGGCAGACGUAUAAAUUAGGCAGACGUUUUUAAGUCUGCCCAAUUUUCUACUUGUAAAAUGAAAUUAUGUAUUUAACUUUUGAGUUAAAUGUGUUUUCUUUCCUUAAAUUUAGAAUCUAAACUUUACAUUUCGGGCAAAAAGAUUUCAUUUUAUUCAUAAAAGUGUAAAUUCUAGAGUUGUUAAAAACUAGCGUGUAUUAUUUUGGCAAUAUACGUUUCACGACUUGUGUAGACAUUUUUCAAAUGGGCAUCACAAACGAAAGCGGAAAUAUAUUUAAAUUUCGUUUGAUUUUUUCCUUAUUCUGAACCACUAGGUGUCAGAUUAUCUAGAUUAAUAUUUUUAAAGAUGGUAUUUAAAAUUUUUUAAUUUUCCAACACCGUGAUUUUUUGUUGCGUUCUGUUUUGCUGUCAUGUUACGGAAAUGAACUUCGGGAACCUUCGGAGACACCCGGAAAGGAUCCAGCGUCUGCGAAGAUGUUGUCACGUGUAAGUAAAUUUUUCUUAUUUUGGUUUCAAAAAUGAUUUCAAGGCACAUUUCUCGCAAAGUAUAUAUUGUUAGGUUUUAGGCUAUUACAAUUUCCCCUACGAGUACGAGUAACCGCGUUGGUUUUCUUCACUGGGCAGCGAAAGAAGGGUCUACCGUCUCCGAGUCUCGAUCUCGUCACGCCAUGACACACGACUAGGACAAUAUUUGUCGCGUCGUUUACUAUGGUUUAGCAUUGUUAUAAAGGUUUUCUAGGAUAUAGAGAAUCCCAAAAAUGUGUUGUCAUUAUGCCCUGCACUUAGCGACACAAUGCAGGAGACGCCGUGCAGUUUGCAAUGCAAUGUGCAUUGUCCUUAUUUUGAUUGUAAGAGGAAAGUGUCGAUUGGGUUAAGACUGAUCUGUACAAAAGUGGCUUUUCUGUUGGACACAUUUCUAAAUACAAUGGAGAAACGAUCCUGCACAUCAUUUGUGGAAAUGGAAGAGUUAGAGGCAGAACAGGAGGAACAAUCAUGAACAUAAUUAGUUGAAAUGGGAGAGUUAGAGGCAGAACAGUCAUUUCACCCAAGGAGGCAUACAUAUGGAUUUAGGCUGUGAAAAAGAACCCCAAACAAAAUGGCGGCUGGUGAAUUAAAAAAAGUUUCUGAGUGUAUGAUCUGAACGGAGAAUAGGAAUACUGCAUCCCAUCUGACCCUGCAGGAAGAAAGACCUCUGGCAAAGACAAGAACAAAGGAGGGAGAACAUUUCUGGAAAUUUAUGAAAUCUUCAGUGUGUUUGGACACAGGAGCUAUGAUAUCCAUUCUGGUUGCCUCGGGAUCGAUUCUUGUGAAUAUAGAAAAGUGGAAAUUCAAAUGUUGGUUAUUUUACACUUUAAAAGUGCUUACUGCUUAGUCCAAUAUCUUGAUUAAUCUAGUCUUUUAUGAUUUUUCAGGCAAAUUAAAUCUCCAACACAUGUAUACAUUUUUGAUAAAUUACCCCAAGGACCCUAUAUUUUUUCAAAAGCAAUAUAUAUCUGAAGUAAAUAAAACCAUUUUUGUUGGGUCACACAAUGAAUAGAAAUGUAGUGCUUAUAUCAUGUAAUUUCUGUAAACAGAUGAUAUUUUUUACAGUUUUUAGCUCACCUUAGCCAAAACCUCAAGUAAGCUUUUCUGAUCAAAAUUUGUCCGUUGUAUGUCGUCGUCAUAAACUUUUCAUGUUUUUAACUUCUUCUUAAGAACCGUUGGCCAAUUUCAACCAAACUUGUCACAAAGCAUCCUUGGGUGAAGGGCUUUUAAGUUUGUUCAAAUUAAGGGCCAUGUCCCGUUCAAAGGGAAGAUAAUCACAAAAAUGCAAAAAUAGGGUGGGGUCAUUUAAAAACCUUCUUGUAAAGAACCACUGGACCAGAAAAGCUGAAAUUUACAUGAAAGUUUCCUGAUAUAGUGCAGAUUCAAGUUUGUUCAAAUCAUGGCCCCCGGGCAGUGGAUGGGGCCACAAUAGGGGAUUAAAGUUUUACAUACUGAUAUAUAGGAUGACUCUUUAAAAAUCUUCUUCUCAAGAACCACUGAGCCAGAAAAGCUGAGAUUUACAUGAAUGCUAUCUGACAAUGCAAAUUCAAGACUGUUCAAAUCAUGGCCCCUGGGGUAUGAUGGGGUCACAAUAGGGGGAUCAAAGUUUUACAUGCAAAUAUAUAGGAAAAAUGUUUAAAAUUGUUCUUCUCAAGAACAACUGGGCCAGAAAAUCUUAGAUUUACAUGAAAGCUUCCUGACAUAAUGCAGAUUCAAGUUUGUUCAAAUCAUGGCCCCUGGGGGUAUGAUGGGGCCACAAUAGGGAAUCAAAGUUUUACAUACAAAUAUAUAGGAAAAAUAUUUUAAAAUCUUCUCAAGAACCACUCAGCCAGAAAAGCUGAUAUUUACAUGUAAGCUUCCUGACAUAAUGCAGAUUCAAGUUUAUUCAAAUCAUGGCCCCUGGGGGUAUGAUGGGGCCACAAUAGGGGAUCAAUGUUUUACAUGCAAAUAUACAGGAACAAUCUUUAAAAGCUUCUUCUCAAGAACCACUGGACCAGAAAAGCUGAAAUUUACAUGAAAGCUUCCUGACAUAAUGUAGAUUCAGGUUUGUUCAAAUCAUGGCCCCUGGGGGUAUGAUGGGGCCACAGUAGGGAAUCAAAGUUUUACAUACAAAUAUAUAGGAAAAAUAUUUUAAAAUCUUCUUCUCAAGAACCACUCAGCCAGAAAAGCUGAUAUUUACAUGUAAACUUCCUGACAUAAUGCAGAUUCAAGUUUGUUCAAAUCAUGGUCCCCGGGGGUUUGAUGGGGCCACAAUAGGGAAUCAAAGUUUUACAUACAUAUAUAUAGGAACGAUCUUUAAAAGUCUUCUUCUCAAGAACCACUGGACCAGAAAAGCUGAGAUUUACAUGAAAGCUUUGAUAUAAUGCAGAUUUAAGUUUCUUCACAGGAAAAAUCUUUAAAAAUCUUCUCAAGAACCACUGGACCAGAAAAGCUGAAAUUUAUAUGAAAGCUUCCUGACAUAAAGCAGAUUCAAGUUUGUUCAAAUCAUGGCCCCUGGGUGUUGGAUGGGGCCACAAUAGGGUAUCAAAGUUUUACAUACUAAUACAUAAGGAAAAUCUUCUUCUCAAGAACCACUCAGCCAGAAAAGCUGAUAUUUACAUGAAAGCUCUCUGACAUAUAUUUCAGUUUGUUAAAAUAAUGGCCCCCAGGGGUAGGAUGGUGUCACAAGGGGGAUCAAAGUUUUACUCACAAAUAUAUAGGGAAAAUCUUUAAAUAUGAGCUAAGAUGACUAAGGUGAGUGAUGUGACCCUUGGGCCUCUUGUUUAAAGCCUUUCAUAAUUACCAAAUUUAAAAAAUGGUCUGAAACUGGAAGGUACAAACGAAUCCAUUACCAUUUUGAAUAUUCAUAACCUAGUAUGUUCUGUUGACAUGUUUUGUUUAGAAUUUUGUUCAGAGAAAUGUAAUUCAAAUGAUCACAAAAUAUACACUGUCAUUGGUUUUGGUAUACAUAUAAAAGGUAAAUCCUGGUUUGCCAUGUUCAUAAUAUAUGUCAUGCAAUAAGACUAAGUGCUCUGUUGUUUAAACUGUGUAUUGUUAUAGGAUUUUCGUUUAGUGUUUAUGACUAUCUCAUGUGAGCAUUACUGCCUAUGAUAUUUUCUCUUUCAAUAUAAUUUUUUUGAAAAUAUGUUGAUAAAUGACCACUACAGUUUAAUUCAUAUGUAUACUAUCUGAGUUCAGAAUGUUCUCUUGUGUUUUGUCUUAUUGAGAUGAUAUAUUGUGCUCUUUGACUUAAUGAUGCUGCUUUAAGGCAUAAUUGUUGCACCUAUAGUGUAUUCAUUUUCAAAUGUAUUGAAAUAUAAUGUUUGAUAAUAAUGAGGCAAUGCUAUACUUGUUAGGGUAGUAAUGCACCGGUAAUUCAAAUGUACAUUGAUGUCUUACCCGAUUGUUUUUAUUUUGUUACAAUUUUGGUUUUUGAUAAGAAUUUUAGGUCACAUAGGUAAUCUCUGGUGACCUGUCUUCUGAGUAAAUUCAGGUAACAAUUGAACAUUUUGUAAGAAAAACGUAUGCAUAGUCAGAUAGAGGAGGAAGGCCUUUACUAAAAAUGUAGAUGUUGUAAUCCAUGGGGUAGGGUUUCUGACUCUGGGGUAAGACCAAACUUGGUAUACAUAGUGAAUAUGUGUUAAAGGCAUAGGAUCUAUCUUUUAUCCCAAAAAUGACAUCACAAUAUUUUGCAAGAAGAACUCCAAAAAAACAAAUUUGUAGUAUUAAUUAUGAGUUAUCUAUAGCUGCAGCGCUUUGAAAUUUAAGUCAUUUUGACGUUUUAGCCCUAUUUAAAAAUUUUGUCAGGAGGACAAUAUAUUAAACUGGUACCCCACUGAUUGGUGGCUACACACAAACAAGAGAUGCGAAAUCAACAAGGGUACCAGUUUAGGCAAAUGAGAACAGGGAAUUAUUUUGUAAUUACUAUCGUUAUCCAAUGUGUUUGUAAACAUUCUGAAGAACUUUGUGUGAUUUUCUAGUUAAUAUGAUCUUAAAUUUCGCCACCUUUUUGGAACAUGCAACAUUUCACCAAUAUCUUAGACCCUAUGCCUUUAAGGUAAUUCCACCCCUGUAGAAUUAUAGGUUCAAUUUUAUAUUUGAUUAAUGGUUAUCUUAGUAACAAAUAAAAAUGAUAAGAUAAGUAUGUUGCAGCAUUGAUAAAAAGAUUUAUCAAUUAGCACGCAUAUACCUGUUAUUGAUGUCAGAAAAUUACAAUUUUCCUUAAAUACAUUUCAUUAUCACAAAAACUUGUUAAAACGAUAUAAUGGUAUUCAUAACAAUUUCAUGAAACUGUUUCUUAAAAAAAAUAUACAAAUAUGUUUGUGAAAAGUAAAGGAAAUCUAUGCAUAAAAAAUUGAUAAAUAAUUUAAUGAAAAAGGAGUUAUUACCCUUGGAUUCGGUAUUUCGAAACUCAUACGUGAGUUUUGAAAUAUUUUAUGGUUAACAAGAUUAUUUACAAUAACUAUUGAAAAAGACUUCAACAAAAUUUAUGUUCCCAUCAUGCAUAAAUCUUAUCAAAUCAUUGACUUUGCGAAAGCUUAUGACAUCACAGGAGAGUGGAAAUACGUUACACAAUUAUAAAAUAUCUUUUUUAAAGGUUGAUAUUAACAUGAAACUAAAUUAAUAUGUGGUAGUCCUUAACCAAAAUUGUAAAAUUCAUGAUUUCCUGGACAAGGGUUUAGUUUCCAGGAUGAGGCCAAGAUUAUAGUAGCAACUAUUGUCUUUAUUGUGAUAUGGUCAAUAACCAAAUGCAUGCUUAUUAGAAGCAGAAAAGGAUAUACGAAAGUGGUGAUUUACACAACCCCAGGGUUUUGACUGUACACAGGUCCAAAGUAGUCAUAUUAUUUAAUGUUGUAUAUAUAACAUCUCCAUAUUAGUGAAAUAUUCUCGAGAGGGACGUUAAACAAUACCCAAUCAAUCAUCUGGACUGUAUAGGCACUUUCAGGGCAUUUAAGUUUUAUGAACACAUCUUUUAUUCUGUUUUGUAUGUUAGGAUUUAAUUUAGGUAUGCAGAACAGGAAUUUUUCUCAAGAUUUCAUAAUACUUGGGGCUAGUGAUACUUUUAAUUAAUUCCCAUGUACCCAAUAAGGCAUGUGGGCCUUUUAUUUCAUGAAAUGCAUUAAAUUCUGAUUGAUAUGUCUUUUGUAAUUUUUCAUAAAAUCGAUGAAAAUCCUACAUGUUUUAUUAAUAUUUGACUAGCAACCAUACUUGAAAAUGAUUUGUAUACCAUGCCAGUUUUUGUUACAAAGUAACAAUUAUAUAUAAUGAAUAAAUUUCAUGUUAAAGUUAA